AGUAGAAUUGCUGAGUCAUAUGGCAAGUGUGUUUGGAACCUUUAAGGGAAAUACCAAACUCUUCUCCAAAAAGACUUUGUCACUUUGCAUCCCUACCAGCCAU
rnacentral:pre_miRNA from 1 species